UUUGUGACCACUUUAAUGCCGGGUUUUGUGCGAUAUCGUGUGAAAUCAUUUUACAUAAUUAUGCUAUUUUUCUGGGAUAUUCACGGGAUAAACUCCCAAUUUCUUUUGUAUGAUAAACUCCAUCUUCUGUUUAAGGGGUGAGCUAAGUCUUACUGUGGCCUGGUACAUACCAGACCUUUAAGACGCUCUCAUCACGUGCUAGGGUUGCCUCGGGAUGGUGCUUCCACACGCCCCUCAACCCUAGCACGUGAUGAGGGCAUCAAAAUGGCAAUGCCCUCUACACACAGGCACCGCCAUUGUUACGCAAACACUGCGUGGCAUCCGCACAGCACCACAUGGCACUUGCAUAACAAGUGCACCAGUGGUGCACUGUGGCGCACUCGUUACGCUGCCAUCGUGGUGUAGAAAAAACUCACUUUUUGCAGAAAAACCGCCGCCGCCAGCCCAGACCUUCAAAGAUGUAUGUACUGGGCCUGUGUUUCCCAAAUGUUCAGUUUCCUUGUGUGUGUAUAUCACAAAAUAUGACAAUGGCUGCUAGAGAGCAGAUGGUUACAAAGAGGGAUUCAUGUUCAGGAAGAAUAAGGUGUUCAGCUGCAACCUAUAGAUACCAGCCUUUGGGAAACAACACCAGGAUUAGGCUAUUACCAUGGACCAUUGGUCUGUUCCAGUAGGGCUCUUCUUAUGUGCUUAAGCAUACGCAUUUGGCCUCAUGUACUUUAAUAUUAUUCCUAGCCUGUAUCCAUACAUUGUGAAAGGCAAGGACAUACUUUCUGACUCAUCCUCCAGGAGGCAAGUAUGGCAGUAAUAAGUGAUUGGUUUCAAAAGCAACUAUUGGAAGUGAUGCACAGUUCUGUUCUUGUUUCUUCAGCUGCCUGUAUAGAUUCAGCUGCAUCACAUGAAUAAGUGUAUGCCUAUAUCUACAGUGCACAUUUUUAGCUAUAUGUUUAUCCAUCUAAUAGAAGAGAUCUGUUCUGUGGUAAAAGCCUUAUUAGUUCACCUGACACUAAAAACUGAAAUUUGGCUUCUGUGCUAUAGAAGGAUAAUAUUUGUGAUUUAGCAAGUGUAGGAAGGCUAUUGGUGAGUUGCAUGCUGUUGUUGGGCAGGGCAGAUAGAGUGGAUUUGUGACAGAACACAAAUAGGGAGAGCCUAUAGAGAAAGAUAGGUAGAUGAACCUCUAGGUGGAAGCAAAGUGACACAGACCAGUUGUCAGCAGCAGGAGCCAUCUUCACUGUGAGGGAGGGAGUUGUGCUGUGGUGGAAACACACUUCAACAUGCCCUUCUAGCUCAAGGCACUCCAUGUUAGGUUAGCCAAAUGCAAAAGAGGACUGGCCCAUGCCCUUUUGAUAGCUGUGCAGAGGAAAGAUUUCCCCCCUUGCAUAGUGGGCCAAGCAAGAUAGUCCUGCUGAAAUGCCUUCUACAUAACUGUUAAAAAGUAUAGGAAUCCUCUUUGUCCUCAAUCCAUGGUGAUAUAUAAAAUCACUCUGUGUGUGUAAGAGACAGACGGUGUGAUUCACAGGAAGUAAGUCCCAAGCCAAGCCAGGCCAAAGAGAUCAUGCCCUUCCUUCCUACUCACCCCCUUUUUGCAUUGCAGCUGCUCUUCCCCACAUGGGUAUAAAAUAACAUCCCGUAUAUGUGGGUACUAUAUAAUGUAUGUAGACAAUGAUUUUGGAUUAACAUUUAAACAAGAGAACAUGUAAAUAAUAGAAUACUGGCUGAGAUUCCAGAUCAGCUACUUAGUCUAGAACAUAGUUAAGUAUACUUAACUAAGUAGCGCCUCCUGGCCCAACCCGCUGAAUCCUGUCUUUCUGGAUGACAGCUGCUGCAAGCAACAUAGGUCUGUUCUCCUGCCAAUUAGGUCACUGCAGGCUGAUGUUUCUAUACCCCUCCUGCCAGCAAUCUCCACUAUGACAAUCAGAAGCAGGAUCCCUGUUGCAAUUCCUCUCUUUUCUGCCAAUUUAUUCGACAGAGGCUCUGCUACCUUGGAACUCAGCUGCCUUUCAGUGCAUGCCCUGUCUACGCCACUUGUCACAUACCUUCCUAGGGCAUUAGGAAAAGAGACAUAUUCAUUAGGAAAGGAUGCUCUCCCAUGCUCAGAAUCUAACUCCCUUUCUGAGCUAAGGUGACUACCUCUAGCAGAGAAGAAAAACAACCACUGUUCAUUUGCAAAUAUUAAUUUCAUUGCCUGAAUGCAAUGAGUUUGAGUUCUGGGUAGUCACCACCUUUAGUUUCCCAAAGGAAAACGCCAGGAAAACUCCAAUUAAACUUUCUGCCACAGGAUGGGAGGCAGAGCAAUCCAUCUUACUUAAUAAGAUUUACAAUAAUUAUGUGAAAUUGACCAUUAUUAUUCUAAAUUGAUUAGUGCUUUCAAUCAAGGAAAACUGAGGUGCUUAAUUAAGUGGCUUUUAGUCACUUAAUCACAUUUGCAUAUAAAUAAAAACAUUUUGAUACAAACCAAAUUAAUUAUUCCCUUUGGUUUCUAGUGAUGCAUGUGUGAUAAAAA